rnacentral:lncRNA from 1 species
AAGUCUGGGUGUAGAAGCAGUGCAAUGACUUUUAGAGAGCUUUGUACCUGAGCUGGUGAGACCUGCAAGCGCACCAUUAGGAGAUGUUAUGUCCCCCCUAUGAAACCAGCUCUACUCACAUAUUUCUGCUCUGCGGCACCAAGUCUGGCAAGCCAAAAUGCUACUGAACAUCUGGUGCUUUAUAGUCACUGAACCUUAUUUAUGGUUCAGCAUACAGCUAUACUUAGUUUCCGUUAGAAAAAGGAAAUAGAAAAAAUAAAAAAAAAAAAAAAAGCAGGUAUUCUGGGGAAGCAGGAGGAAUGUAUAAUAUACAUAUUUUUUUUUCUUUUUUCUAUUUUGUUUGGUAAGGAAAGCUGAAGGGUUGUACUUUAGAGCUUCACAAUAGCUUGAGUUAACUUGAUUUUGUAAGUGCACAUAGGGAGUAAGUUACUACAAAGCUUGAUCAUGUAAGGUAUGAUGAAAUGCCUGCUGUCUGCUCAAUCUGAGGAAAACUAGCUGUGAUGAAUGGAUAAGCCUCGCUUACAUUUUGUAAUUCCUCCUGGUGUUCUGUUACCUGGAGGGAUUUCUAUCUGACCUGCCAUGCAAUUGAGGAAAAGAGAAAGAACAGUCACAGAAGCAUGCAUCACAUUGGCCCCACAUCAUCAGGACACAAACAUGGGUCAUCACUACCACAUGCAACAC